GUGAUCGCGUAGAAGGGGGCGGCUGCCGCGAGGCAGAACAGACUAGAACCUCCCCGGCCAGUGGCUCCUCCCACCCAACGGUCUCGUGACCCCGGGUCCUUCGCUUGCUCAUUCCUACUCCCUGUACCUCUGCUCCUGCGCACUGCCUAGAACCUUCUAGAAGCUUGGCUGUUCCUGUUGUUGCCUGCCUCUCUACGCACACGUUCUUAUUUCAACUCUGACCUACUUCCCGAGAGGGGUCAACCACCUGCAAAGGCGCUUUCAAGGAGAUACGAAAUAUCAGCCUCUCCAGGAAGCCAUACACAAUCGGAUAUUCUGUGAAUGAGCAUUAACUGGAGGACAACACCCCGACGAGAAAAGGGCCGGCUGGCCAAAGCAGCGGUCAAAGCCCCAGGCGUGACGUAAGCAUUCUGCGCCGCCGCAGAAGGAAAGCCCGCGAGCGGCGCCCGCCGGAAGGGGAGGGGCGAUUGGUCCGGUUUCCUGGCGACGCGGUCUGCUGGCGGCUGUUUUCCUGGAUUCUGCUUCUUUCCGUUCCUGACGCGUGAGCUAGGUCGAUAUGCCUUGGCUGCUCUCAGCUCCCAAGCUGGUUCCUGCUGUAGCAAACGCCCGCGGCCUCUCAGGAUGCAUGUUGUGUUCACAGCGAAGGUACUCCCUCCAGCCUGUGCCAAAGAGGAAGAUUCCAACCCGAUACCUCGGCCAACCCAGCCCCUUUACGCAUCCACACCUUCUCAGACCAGGGGAGGUGACUCCAGGACUAUCUCAGGUAGAAUAUGCACUUCGCAGACACAAACUGAUGUCUCUGAUCCACAAGGAAUCACAAGGGUACAGUGGGACCGACCAGACAGUAGUUGUGCUCUCCAACCCAACAUACUACAUGAGCAAUGAUAUCCCCUAUACUUUCCACCAAGACAACAAUUUCCUAUACCUGUGUGGAUUCCAAGAGCCUGAUAGCAUUCUGGUCCUUCAGAGCCUCCCUGGCAAGGAACUGCCAUCACACAAAGCCAUGCUUUUUGUGCGUCGGAGAGACCCCAGUCGAGAACUUUGGGAUGGCCCACGAUCUGGCACUGAUGGAGCAAUAGCUCUAACUGGAGUAGAUGAAGCCUAUACACUAGAAGAAUUUCAACAUCUUGUACCGAAACUGAAAGCUGAGACGAACAUGGUUUGGUAUGACUGGAUGAGGCCCUCUCAUGCACAGCUUCACUCUGAAUACAUGCAGCAUCUGACUGAGGCCAAAGCCAGGAGCAAGAACAAGGUUAGGGGUGUCCAGCAGCUGGUACAGCGCCUGCGACUGAUCAAAUCUUCUGCAGAAAUUGAACGAAUGCAGAUUGCUGGGAAGCUGACAUCACAGGCUUUCAUUGAGACCAUGUUCGCCAGUAAAGCCCCUGUGGACGAAGCCUUUCUUUAUGCUAAGUUUGAAUUUGAAUGCCGAGCUCGUGGCGCAGACAUCUUAGCCUACCCACCUGUGGUUGCUGGUGGUAAUCGGUCAAACACUUUGCACUAUGUGAAGAAUAAUCAACUCAUCAAGGAAGGGGAAAUGGUGCUUCUGGAUGGAGGUUGUGAGUCUUCCUGCUAUGUGAGUGACAUCACCCGCACCUGGCCUGUCAAUGGGAGGUUCACUGCACCUCAGGCAGAACUCUAUGAAGCUGUUCUAGAGAUCCAGAGAGACUGUCUGACCCUCUGCUUCCCUGGGACAAGCUUGGAGAACAUCUACAGCAUGAUGCUGACACUGAUAGGACAGAAACUUGAAGAGUUAGGGAUCAUGAAGAAUGUUAAAGAAAAUAAUACCUUCAAGGCUGCUCGAAAAUACUGCCCUCAUCAUGUUGGCCAUUACCUUGGGAUGGAUGUGCAUGACACUCCAGACAUGCCCCGUUCCCUCCCUCUGCAGCCCGGGAUGGUGAUCACAAUUGAGCCAGGGCCAUUUUGUCCUGGUCUCUCGUUUAGUACUGGUAGACCACGAAAGCCUCCAGAGCCCUGGUGCUCGCAUGCUGAGAGACACACAGAUGCACCAUGCUCCAGUUGCAACACCUCUGCAAGCUGUACUGAACUACUCUGCAAGCUGUACUGAACUACCCAGCACAACCCUAAUCCUUAGUAUGCAACUUGUUCCUCACAAGCUUCAGAGAAAGCUGACAAUCGAACAGAUUACCUGACUUGAAUGAUACCAGGUGUUGGGCAGCAUUCAGAAGAGAAGUGGUGGCCACAGUGAACUUGAAGGCAUUUAUAUUCCGGAGGAUGACAGAGAUGCCCCAGAGAAGUUUCGGGGUCUUGGUGUACGAAUUGAGGAUGAUGUAGU